GAUCAUGGCUCAGGACGAACGCUGGCGGCGUGCCUAAUACAUGCAAGUCGAACGCAUUUUCUUUCACCGUAGCUUGCUACACCGAAAGAAAAUGAGUGGCGAACGGGUGAGUAACACGUGGGUAACCUGCCCAUCAGCGGGGGAUAACACUUGGAAACAGGUGCUAAUACCGCAUAAUUCCAUUUACCGCAUGGUAGAUGGAUGAAAGGCGCUUUUGCGUCACUGAUGGAUGGACCCGCGG
rnacentral:rRNA from 1 species